AAUCAACGCUGGCGGCGUGCCUCAGACAUGCAAGUCGAACGCGAAAGUCCCCUUCGGGGGACAAGUAGAGUGGCGCACGGGUGAGUAACACGUAGGUAAUCUACCUUCGGAUGGGGAAUAACAACCGGAAACGGUUGCUAAUACCGCAUAAUGCAGCGGCACCUAAUGGUGACAGUUGUUAAAGCGGGGGGAUCGAAAGACCCCGCGUCCGAAGAGGAGCCUGCGGCGGAUUAGCUAGUUGGUAAGGAAUGGCUUACCAAGGCGACGAUCCGUAGCCGGCCUGAGAGGGCGGUCGGGCCACACUGACACUGACAUACGGGUCAGACUCCUACGGGAGGCAGCAGUCGGGAAUUUUGGGCAAUGGGGCGAAAGCCUGACCCAGCAACGCCGCGUGAAGGAUGAAA
rnacentral:rRNA from 1 species